GGUAAAAUGGCUGAGAUAUAAAUAGGUAAUAAAUUGUAAAUUUAUUAAGAGGAAUUAAUAAUCCUUUUUACCA
rnacentral:tRNA from 1 species